ACGACCCAUGAAGACCCUUACCCUUGAAGGUGACGGGGUACGACCCAUGAAGACCCUUACCUCUGAAGGUGACGGGGUACGACCCAUGAAGACCCUUACCCCUGAAGGUGACAGGGUACGACCCAUGAAGACCCUUACCUCUGAAGGUGAC